AAAUAUAUUAUAAACAAUAGAUAUUAUAUACGUAUUAACUGUGAUGAAUGCCGUUGUGCCAUUCGAAUGGUUUUCUUCAGAGGCAGUGCCAGGAGUGGGGCUGAGGCAAUUCCGGGGAUGCUCUGCCUGUGCCAGCCCCGCUUCCAGCCUCAGGUGCCUGUUUCCCUUCUCUCCUCUCCAUUGGAACAAUUCCACCAGGAAUCCCAAUUUCUUAGAUUCAACAAACAAUUCUUGAUCCCACUUGCCUUUCCAGCAACUGCCCCGUUUCUCUGCUCCUCUUGACAGUGACUUGUGGAAUUAUUUGUACUCUCGAUCCCCAUCCAAUUCUCUCCUCCAACUCCACCAAAACUGCUUUUUCCAAGAUUGCCAAUGACUUCCACAUGGCCAACUCCAUGAGUCUUCGUCUUACUUGACUUUGCAGCAGAAGCACUUUACCUAUUUCCGAGACACUACAAUCUCUGGCCACUGCUUCUCAGUUUUUUCUGGUUCUGCCUCAUCUUCCUCACCCCCAUGUUCUUACCAUCCCAAGGCUCAUUCCUGAGACCUCUUUUCUAACUGUCUACUUGACUUCUUGAUAUCUAGUGGCAUCUUGAAUUUCGUAUUUCCAAAACUGAGCCCUUGAUGUUCUGCUCUCCAAAUUAGCUCUUCCCACAGUCUUUCUUAUGUCAGUUAACAGCCAUUCUCUUCUUCCAAGGCGCUCAAAACAAAAACCCUGGCAUUAAUAGUAAUGUCAGCAAAAUGACAGGGUAGGCAGCUUCACAGAAAUACCAAAAACAAGCAGAAACUGUCAGAAUCAACUUUGUCAGAACUCCAGAAAACAAGCAAAGGUUCACAUCAACAACUGAACACCGAAUCAAGAAGAGGUAGCUUCUGACUGUAGAGUGAUUACCAGGGUGGUGGCAGGCAAGAAUGAGGAGUUAUUGUUAAAGAAGUUUGUUUGGGUUGAUUAAAAAGUUCUGGAGAGGCCGGGCGUAGUGGCUCACACCUGUAAUCUCAGCACUUCGGGAGCAGAGGCAGGCGGAUUACCUGAAGUUAGGAGUUUGAAACCAGCCUGGCCAAUAUGGUGAAACCCUGUCUGUACUGAAAAAUACAAAAAAAAAAAUUAGCCAGGCGUGGUGGCACAUGCCUGUAGUCCCAGGUACUUGGGAGGCUGAGGCAGAGAAUCUCUUGAACCCAGGAGACGGAGGUUGCAGAGAGCUGAGAUCGUAACACUGUACUCCAGCCUGUGUGACAGUGAGACCCUGGCUCAAAAAAACAAAAAAGUUCUGGUGAUGGACAGAGUGUUGGUUGCACAACAUGAAUGUGCUUCAUGUCACUGAACUGCACACUUAUUAAUAAAAACAAUUAAAAUGGUAAACUUUAUAUUAUGUAUAGUUUACCACAAUAAAAAUAUAUGAUACAGGGGAAGAAAAAACCAUAGGCAAACCGUGUGGCAUUUUACUACUCCUUGCCCUGGGCCCGGCUUGACAGCAGUCUUAAAGACAUCAGCCCACAUUCUAUUGUGGGAUCCUGGUUUCUCUUUCUAGAAAGGGCAGAGCGGACAUCAAAUUAUUGUGUAGGUCUGCUCUGAUCUGUCUCAGGGCUAUUCAAAAAACUGAUGCAAGGCAUUUAUCUCUGCUUUGCUUAAUGCAGAACAUACCCAGGCCAGAAAAGUGGCAGGCGGUACUCUAUAAACAUUAUAAGGCUGACACAAAAACCCGGCAAAUGUCUGAGGCAAAAGAUUUUGGCUGCAACAUAUAAUAGACUGCCUAAAGCCUAGAAAAAAAAAUCCAAGGAAAGUGUUUCUUUGGGAAAUUAGGGGACUCCCAAGCAUCCCUGUAUGUGGAGGAAUUUUCAAAGCUUCGUUAAAGACCUCAAACUUUCACCUCAGGUUUGUCCAUAGCGGAAUUUUGCAUAAGAGUUGAAGGAGAGCUAGAGAACAGAAGCAACCUGCAGACAGAAAGAGAUGUUUUUGUUUGUUUAGCUUGUGUCAUUCAAAGAAAUCUGUCAAAACACGAGUCGGUCACAAGCUAAGAAAGAGCAACUUCAGUGACCAGGGACAACAUGAAAAGGAAUACAAUCAACAACAAAAUAUAUAGAAAAAGCCACUAGACAAAUGGACUACUACAGCCUUCAACCAAAUAACCAACUAAACAAACUAAAAGCCCAGAAAAACCUGGAGGAGAGUUAAAAGACAGUUAUUUACAUGAGUUAAAAGAUGAAUGAAUAAAACAAUUAUAAAUCUGUUAUUGGGCACAUAUGCAUGAAGA
ensembl:lncRNA